CUGAUGUGAUAUAUCUGAUGUGAUAUUGUUGCAAACUAUACAAGUUACCGGGUUUGUACAUACAAUACAUGUACUGUCAACAUAUUACAAAACCACACAUCACCAUAAAUAACACAGACAAUCCAUGAUGUACGUUACAGAAGUGGGUUUAUGACUAGAAGGCUGCAGGGAAAAUGUGUGUGGAUGAAGUGUCUGAAACAAAGUCCCCACUUCCAACAACUACUGUCGAGGAGCACAGGAGCAUGGUGCAGGGUGUGUGUAACACCGUCUCUGGUGCCUGCAAAACAGAAAUCACCACAAACACAACCGUACUAACUCUAACUUCUUUGGUUAGACUCACCUGAAGACUUAAAGAAGCUUAAUUUUGGAUGCAACUUUAGACUUAAACCUCAACCUAAAGGACCAGAGUUGGAAUAUCUAAAGGCAUCAUAAUGUCUUAUGAACGGAUUCUGGGGAUCAAAGAUCUGAGUGAAGUUCCGAAUCCAUGGAAGGGAAUCACUAUGAACCGCUGCUUAGUGCUGGCGCUGGUUGUACUGCUUGUGAGUUCAGGGGUCAAUGAAUUGCAUGAUGCUCUGGAUUCUUUUGUUGAGGAGGAAAGUGUAAGAUCUUUCCUUGGAAGUCUGCAAGAUGGUUCAAUAACUCAGAUCUCUUUGUGGGACAGUUUCAUUUGGUGGUGGGAAUCUGAAGAAGUUGGAGCGAUAAGAAAAAGAAAAAAGCCAAUUGGCGACAGAACAAUCCUGAAACCCAAAACUAAAGAAUGAAUUUGUAUACAGCUAAUUCCACCAAUAACAGCUUUCUGAAUAAAGGAGCACCAACGGCAUACUUUGCAUUUAAUUAUAUAAAAACAGAGAGUAAUACAUGUUUGUUUGUAUUGUACAGAAAAUCAUUUAAUUUAUCUGGCACAGGCUGUUAUUUCUUAUUCUGAAAUAUUUGUCACAUUUAACGCAUAUUUUAAAUCACUCAAAUCCACCUUUCAUGACUAAUUUAGAUGAUUUAUGGAGUGAGAUUUUAUAAACAAUGUGGUAACAUUUAAUAAUAUACACAUGUACAAUACAUUUAAUAAUUUCAAUGAUAAUGAGAAUUUUUAAAGCACAAAGAGUGGUCUUAAGAGGUUUACUAUGAUAAACAUUGGGCCUCAUGCACAAAGCAAUAAAAGGAAAAUAAGAAAAUCCUGGAUUUUAGAUGCUAAAAAAAUCUUUCCGUGAUGGGAGGCGGUCAUUUGACAGUCAUAGAUAUAUUAGAGGAGAAUAUUAUAGUCUACAGGUGAUGUUACUCUGUCAGCUGCAACA